UUUUGCUAGAUUUUGAAGUUUGUGGGGGAGUUAACCUUGCUAAGCAUAUGUUUGUUGGUUACUACGAUAUCUGUGACUGCUGGUUCAAAUUUUUUGCCAGUGUGUAGGAGUGUGAGAAACUCUAUUUCAUUCAUUCUGUUGAAGGCAUUAUAUUUCGUGCCAUGUGUUAGUGCAAUUUGGUCUGGUCUGGGGCGGCUUGUUUGGGGGGGGAAUAAACUACUACCGAACCAAAUUUUUUUGAUAUAUGGAUUUGUAAAUCUACAUCAAACUCAAUUCAGUUGGAUUCGGUUUAACCAAUUGGAACUUUCAACUCUUGCUACGAAAUUUUUGGAUAUCAAACGGACCUCUCCAGAUGGUAGUCCUGAUGUGGCCGAUUUACCUUGAUUUUCAAUCAGUUUCGCUGCGGCGCCUGCUGCUCUAGCUAAUUGUCCAUCCUUCCCACAUGUGAUUUUUUAUGUUUAUGUAUGGUCCUUUUACGAGUCUAUCGGUUGGAGUUGAUUCGUCUUUUAUCAAUAAAAAUUUCUGUCCAAAGUGUACAAGCUUUGGCCAAAUCAUAUAGCUUUCUAGAUGUAUAUGAUGAUAUUUAUAUUGAUGGAUGGAUCGUACAUGAAUCAUAUGAUGAAUUGUCAAAAUGAAUGGGUACAUAGAAAUCCAAAUUUGUUGAAUCACUCAUGUUACGACCCAUUCCGUCAUUGGGCUUAUAUUCUUUAUAUAGCUUUCAGACUGAAUGACUCUAUGAAAUUACAUUGAUACUUACAUAUAUUUGGGGUGCCGGAGGGGUUAUCUCUAUUUUACCC